GAGGGUAUAACUCAGUGGUAGAGUACAUGCUUAGCAUGCACAAGGUCCUGGGUUCAAUCCCCGGUACCUCG
rnacentral:tRNA from 1 species